CCAAACACAAUAAGCGUUUUAAUUUUUCCACUCUCCUCAACGGUCGCUUCUUCUCCUCCUUUCCUUUUCUUUACAAAAAUUUCAAUGUUGCUCAGCCAUGGCAGACUUGCCAUUACCAUUUUAGAACAAGAAGCUCUGCACCUCAUUUAAUUCUUCUGCAAGAUCAACGUUCAAAUUUCAAACGGUUCAAUAGCUUUGACUCCAUUUCAAAAUCAAAAUCUGAAGAAUUCCCGCUCAAGAAGCCCUAUCUCAAAUCUGCCGCUAUAAAUACCCGUGUUUGGCAAUAAUUUUGGGACAACUCGGAGCCGCCGCUCUUCCCCUCUAUAAAUCAUCCUUUGCCUAUUAACUGAUAUUCAUCUCAGAAGUCAGAAAAGCUUCAUUCUUUUGACUCCCCUGCUGUUUCUGUUGGGUAUUUAACCUUGCAUAAAAUCGAUUAUCUUUAUUUAUUUUAGUCGAAUCUGCUUUUGUCCGAGGCGAAGGAGCGGGCUUGAAAUCGGAAUCUAAGAUCCGUGCCUCGGUUCGCUGCUCCGCAAUAGGUCAGUUUUCUUUCUAAACUUUAAUCUUCCCUUAUUCUGUUAUUAGAUGUAAAGUAUUUGUUGUUUCGUCUUCUGUAGAAAUCACGUUCCUUAGUGAGUCGUAUUCUAGUUGUUUACUUACUAAACGUGAAGAAGACAUGUUUGUUAAAAUUACUCUAUGAAAUGGGUCAUGCUGUUUUAGCCACGAAUUAUGAUUUAAGUAUAAGAGUCAUGUUUUAGGAGUUGUGUGAAAAUCAUGCCUUUAAGCAUUUUAUAAGAUGAGCAUGUAGUUUUAAAAGAUUGAGUGGUCAGUGUUUUCUUCCUUUGCAUCCUUUACCUUUUCUUUCGAAUCUGCUAGUUUUGAAUACUUUUUAAUUUGAUUUAAGUUGAGAUUAAUUCAUGUCUUAUGUCCUAGAUAUCAUGAAAAUAGGAAUUCGGCAUGUGUUUGAUAAACCAUUAAGUUAAUAUGACAUUCUGUGAUUCCUGAGUUUGUUAAAAGUCGUAUCUUAAGCGGUAUUUUUAUCUAAAUAUAUAAAUCGUGAUUUAGUUAUUUAGGUCUCAUUUUUUUAAUAAAUUCCUACCAUUAUUUACUGGAAGUUAUGUUCUGGUCAUAGGCUAGUCAAACUACUUGUUUAUAAAUACUAUGCCUAUAGGUCCCAUUAUUUAGCUGAGAAUUUUAAGAGAGUAUAAUUCAUGUCUAGUUACCAUGAGUAUGCGAAACCUACCAUGCCAAAUACUGUCUCUUUUUAUCUUUUAAGGAGCAUGAUAAUUUCAAGUUAUAAUCUAGAAAUUAUGUGUCCAUUUCCUUUGAAUAAUAGUAAUAGAAUUUGAAAGUAGAAGACUAUUGGUUUUGAGUAAUAUAGAAUGCUUUGUAGUUUACUGUUUGGAUUCGUUUAACCAUAGAAGAGUACGCAUGUAGGUUUAUCGAACCAUAGAAAUUGUCUAAUGGUUAUCACUAACUGUUGAAUACAUAUUGUUGGAUUGUAAAUAGAUUAUAAAUUUAAGUCUUUUCCUCUCAGUCCUGAAAUCUUGAUUGUAUGACAGCAUAUCUUCUUUAUUUUUGAAUCCGAUAAUUUAAAGUGCAUUCAUUAUGUAUUCACCUAACACAUUUAGUACAGAGGAUAACUAACUAAAGCAGAUCAUCAUCGGUAAUAUCUGCAAGAAAUAGGACUUAUAUACUACUAAGGUCCUGUUAUGAAUCAAAAGAAGUAUAAUAGUUUUUAUUGCCUUUAUAUGCUAUUACUGUUAAGGAUGACUCCUAAUUCUUUAUUUUUCCCUUUCUUUGCAUGUACACUUUGGAGCAGGCGGAGUCUUAAUGCAAGACUCUCCCAUACCCGAGCAUGGAGUAAUCACAUCCCACACUCCUAUAGAUACACCGGAUAGCAAGAAAAAAAAAGUGAAACGCUUGGGGCGCCUAUGGCGUCUUUCUUAUCUUUUUAUUGCAUUCAUUUUAUAUAACUUCUUUAUGACCGCUGUUUUAUUUGUACUUGUGCUUUUCUAAUGUUUAGCAUAUGUUUUGGUAAUUAAGUUUAUUUAAUUAUUUCUGCCAAAUAGAAUACUCAUUUAUCACAUAGGAUUAACAUUAACUUAUAUGAAGACUUGAAACCUUCUCUUUAUUUCUACUUUCUAACUCGUGAACACUCAAGGAUUUGGAUUCUGCCAGGGUCUUGGUAAGUCUUUUGAUAUGAAUAACGUAUCCAGAUUUGAGUUUUAAACCAAAAUAAGUUCUUUUCAAACAUCUAAGUUCUUUUGGCUUUGGUGUAUUAAACCAAGAAUUUUUUUAAGACUAACCAAUUAACAACCUAAGUUUGAUCGGUUAACCGUUAUUAACGGAUCAUAUAACCUGUACUCAUAAUCUUUAGGUUAAGACCAUAAAAGCGGAGUUAACUUUUUAAUAAAAUAAGGUUUCCUAAUUCACCCUUAAUCAAUUAGGUGGCGAAUCUUUUAAUCAAUUAAACCUCUAGAACUACCAAUAGGUUAUGUUCUAAUUUGACCCGUGUUAAAAUGGGGUAUAACAAUGCUUAUAUGUUGUACGAGUAUGUGACUUCGGGAAAUAUGUUGGAGAUUUAUGUGUAGGUUAAUCUCCAUUUCAAACAUGAUAAUUUCUAUUUGUGGCAUAUCCGUCUAAUCUGAGCCGUAGUUGUACACUUCAAACAUGCAUACACUUGUAUUUCACUUUCGGUAUUCUAGACUGGUUUGACAACAAGUGAGUUGUCCGUGCGGGUUGAGUUGGUUGUGGCAUGUGAGUUGUCCGUACGAUUUUUAUAGCACCUACAUUGUCCGUGCAGCAUGUGGAUAAGGAUUCAUCCCCCUAGGUGAUCGUCCUCUCAUGUUUCUCCUUUAUUACACACGGUUGUGAAAAACUAAUCAGUGUUGGAUAGGUAUCUCUCCUCUAUAUGCAAAUUUCUUGGGUGUAUACAUGAUUUUACUGCAUAUCUCCUCUAUAUGCUGGCUUCGUACCUAUGUACUGGCCUUUUUAUGCAUAUCUUCUCUAUAUGCUAAACGGUUAUCUUGUUUAAUUUUCAUUCAUAUCUUCUCUAUGUGCACCAUGAGCUUUACUAGAAGUUAUGCAUAGAUUUUGGUAUUGUUACUGCGUUUUUGUAUGUUUCAUGACUUGUAUAGAUUUCAUCAAGUGAGUAUCAUUGGUGAUUCUUGCGACUACCUCUCUAAGGUUAGUCAUGAUACUUACAGAUUACAUGGGGUCAAUUGUACUCACACUAAACUCUGCACUUAAUUUUGCAGAUCCAAGUGUGGGCCCUAGCUGAGAGCUUAGAUCAUUGUUUAGUUGCUGAGAGACGAGGUAACUGCAUCCUGUUUGCAAACCUUGGCGUCUCUUUUCAAUUCAAUUACUGUUAUUAUCAGACUAGUACUCCUAUUGUAGAGCUCAUGACUCUAUACUACCAGUUAUGGGAGAUUUAUUGUAUUGGCGCAGUCUUUAUUUAUGAUAUUUUUGCUUCUAGACUUGUAUUAUUUUGUAAUUCGCUAUCUUGAUUUGUUAUUUUUAUGCUUGGCUGACCUAGCAAGAGAGUUAGGCGCCAUCACGACCGGAUGGUAGUGUUGGGUCGUGACAGUUAUAGUGUGGAAUGGGAUGAUAUUCACGUAGUAAGUCGUUUCGAGUUCUACCUUCCCAUUUCAUGAUUGAGACUUUACAUAGCGUUAAUUAUUUAUUACUUGCGUGCGUGGUUCGUUUUGUUUUCCGAAAAGUUUAAAUGUGAUUUUUCAAAGAAAGCCUGAUUUUUGAACUUGAAAAUGGUUGGAGUUGGCCACAGUCAACAUUAUUGAUAAACGACCUCAGAUCGGUGUUUUGAUAAUUUUGGUAGGUUUGUAUGAUGAUUUUGGACUUGUACGCACGUUUGGUUGAGUCACAAGUGACCCGAAGUUGUUUCAGCACCAAUUUUAAAACGUUGAGAAUUUGAACUUAAGAACUUUGAAAUCUUUGAGUUUUGAUGCUUAUUUCUUGAUUUCAAAUGUUAUUUUAGCAUUUUGAGCUUGCAAGAGAGUUUGUAUAAUGUUAUUAUACUUGUGUGGGUGUUUGGAGUGGGCCCGGUGGGCUCGGGUGAGUUUCAGAUCAUUUUUUGGCAUUGUUGAGUUAACUGAUUUUCUGGUGUUUCAUAGUGCUUCGUGAUCGCAAAGUAUGUCUCGCGAUCGUAAAGGGAGAAAUUAGGGCAGGGGUGAUUUACACUACGCAAACAUGAGGGGAAGCUCGCGAACGCGAGGUCCUGGGCGAAUUGGCCGCAAACGCGGCAAACCUCACGCGAACGCGCAUGCAUGGGAGAUCUUGGGGACUGUCAAUUGGUUCUUCAUCGCGAACGCGACCAGUGGAUCGCCAACGCGAAGGCUUGGGAGGGGAGAUUCCUUGGCGAAUGCGAGGAGCCAUCACAAACGCGAAGAACACCCGAAGCCCAGGUAUUUAAAGGGCUAAAAUUCGGGAUUUAGCAACUUUUUACCAUUUUUGAGAGCAAGAUCACGAAUUGAGGAGAUAUUUGAAGAUAUUUUUAUCCCAACUUCGUUGCUUAGUAAUUUUUACCUAUUUUUGACUUUUUCCAUAAAUACCCAUAUAUUUGUAUCCCAAUAUCUAGUAUUAUAAAGAGUAGAAAUUGGGGUUUUGGGAAAAACUUAUGAGGUAGAAAUUAGGGUUUUGGGAAAAACUUAUGAGGACUAAUUUUGGGGAUUUGGACCUUGAUUUGAGGUCCAAUCUUGAUACAAAUCACAUAUUUGGACUCGGGGGAGAAUGGGUAAACGAGAAUUGGUCUUAAUAAGAUUUCGACCAUGUGGGCCUGAGUUAACUUUUUGUUGAGUUUUCCAAAUGUGAUAAAAAUCGAACCUUUUUUAUACUAGGAUAGUUUCUAAAGUUUGUUUUGACUUAUUUAAACACUAUUUGACUAGAUUCUAGUUGUUUGGAGGCUUGUGCUAAAGGAGAAGCAGUAUUGGAUUGUUGAUUUGGUUCCAGAAAGAGGUAAAGUAUCGUAGUUAACCUUAAUUUUUAAGAAAUUAGGUGUAUCAUGCAUAUGCAAGGUGACGAGUGCAUAUGUGAAUAAAGCAUACGGGUGGAACUAGUUUAUUUUAUGUCUCAUAUAUUACAUGUUCGUACAUGUUCUAUACCUUAAUCUACUACAUAUUUUACUUGUUCCAUGCCCUUAUUUGUUCUUACUUGACACAUGAUUUACAUGUUGUGCCUUUACAUGACACAUGUUCUUACUUGCUAGCCUUUAUAUGAUUCAUGUCUUCUGUUGAAUACGUGAUUUCGCUUGUCAUAUGCUUUUACUUGUUCAUGCCUAUAAAAUGACUUUACUAGACUUGUUCCAAACCAUAAUUGUUUCAUGCCUUACUUUCCUACGUUAUGUUUGGGAUUGUACGAUCAUUUAAUCGUUUGUAUGCUAAAUACCUUAUUUGGAUCCUUACUGUGCUACAUGAGUAUGAUUAGCUCUAGAAAUUUGGGAUUUGCCAUUUCUCAUCCUUUCCAUAGUAAAUUGUGCUUAUUUAUUCUUCUUGUUAAUUAUUAUGAAAUUUGCAAUAUAUGCAUGUGUUGUUGGAUGAUUCUAUGUGAGUCGCUAUGUUGGAUCGGGUUGCCACUGCAACAAUAUUAUGAUAAUGAUCGGGUUGCUCGCCGCAACAAUAUGGCCAUGGGAUUAGGUUGCCGCCGCAACAAUGUUUGUGUGUGUGUUGGCUCGGAUGUGCGCCACAAUGUAUGUGUUAUGAGAUGUUAGUGUUGUUUGUGAUAUAGCCUUCCUUGUUGCUUUUGGUUGUGCUUAUUACGUGUAUUGUUUCUUCGCCGUUUAUUUGAGCUUCCGAGAAGGAUUUUUGUUGCUCUAUUCAAGAAAUGUGGUUAUCACUUUUGUAAUAUGAUUCUUUUUACUAUUUCCUACUUUUAUUCUUGUUAUUAUUAUUAUUACCUCUAUUGCUAUUUCUAUUGCUAAUUAAUUAUUACCUCUAUUGCUAUUUCUUAGCCCCGUCACUAGCUUGUCGAGAUUAGGCUCAAUACUUACAAAGUAC
rnacentral:lncRNA from 1 species